rnacentral:rRNA from 1 species
ACGAACGCUGGCGGCGUGCUUCACACCUGCAAGUCGAACGGUGAAGCGCCUUCCUUUUUGGUGGGUGUGGAUGAGUGGCGAACGGGUGAGUAACACGUGAGUAACCUGCCCCCUUCUUCUGGAUAACCGCAUGAAAGUGUGGCUAAUACGGGAUAUUCUGGGUCUGUCGCAUGAUGGGUCUGGGAAAGAUAUUGUUUCGGUGGGGGAUGGGCUCGCGGCCUAUCAGCUUGUUGGUGGGGUGAUGGCCUACCAAGGCGGUGACGGGUAGCCGGCCUGAGAGGGUGGACGGUCACACUGGGACUGAGACACGGCCCAGACUCCUACGGGAGGCAGCAGUGGGGAAUAUUGCACAAUGGGUGCAAGCCUGAUGCAGCGACGCCGCGUGAGGGAUGGAGGCCUUCGGGUUGUGAACCUCUUUCGCCAGUGAAGCAGGCCUGCCUCGUUUGUGGGUGGGUUGACGGUAGCUGGAUAAGAAGCGCCGGCUAACUACGUG